UACGAAGGGGGCUAGCGUUGUUCGGAAUUACUGGGCGUAAAGCGCACGUAGGCGGAUAUUUAAGUCAGGGGUGAAAUCCUGGAGCUCAACUCCAGAACUGCCUUUGAUACUGAAGAUCUUGAGUUCGGGAGAGGUGAGUGGAACUGCGAGUGUAGAGGUGAAAUUCGUAGAUAUUCGCAAGAACACCAGUGGCGAAGGCGGCUCACUGGCCCGAUACUGACGCUGAGGCACGAAAGCGUGGGGAGCAAACAGGG
rnacentral:rRNA from 1 species